rnacentral:lncRNA from 1 species
UUAAUAUAAAGCUAAUUAAGUAUUAUUAGAUAUUUAGUAAAAUUUUAUUCAAAGAAAAUUUUUUCUACUUCUAUAUCUCCAAUCUUAGUCUUUAUAACUUAACAAGUUUCAUAUAAAUCAUCUUGUUAGUUAUUUGUAGCUCUAAUUAUCCAACCAUAGUUGAUAUCAAUUGGCCACUUGUUCAUUUUAUAUAUCCAUCUUGACAUGAUGUUGAUUUCAGAUUUAUGAUCAAUUAAGGCCAAAAUUAGAUCUUUAAAGUUCUCUAAUCUCACAUAUGUCUCUAUUAUAGUUCUAGCCUAAUAAAUAAUUGAAUAGCUAUUACUUAUCAUUCUAUUACUAUCAUAUUUAGAAUAAAUAUUUAUACAUGUUUCUUGUGUAUUUUUUUUUAUCCUUGUAAA